rnacentral:rRNA from 1 species
AGCGAACGCUGGCGGCAGGCUUAACACAUGCAAGUCGAGCGGGCCCUUCGGGGUCAGCGGCCGACGGGUGAGUAACACGUGGGAACGUACCCUUUGGUUCGGAAUAACGCUGGGAAACUAGCGCUAAUACCGGAUACGCCCUUUUGGGGAAAGGCUUGCUGCCGCAGGAUCGGCCCGCGUCUGAUUAGCUAGUUGGUGGGGUAAUGGCCUACCAAGGCGACGAUCAGUAGCUGGUCUGAGAGGAUGAUCAGCCACACUGGGACUGAGACACGGCCCAGACUCCUACGGGAGGCAGCAGUGGGGAAUAUUGGACAAUGGGCGCAAGCCUGAUCCAGCCAUGCCGCGUGAGUGAGGAAGGCCUUAGGGUUGUAAAGCUCUUUUGUCCGGGACGAUAAUGACGGUACCGGAAGAAUAAGCCCCGGCUAACUUCGUG